GACGAACGCUGGCGGCGUGCUUAACACAUGCAAGUCGAACGGAAAGGCCUGCUUUCCCUUGUGGUUUGCGGGUACUCGAGUGGCGAACGGGUGAGUAACACGUGAGUGAUCUGCCCCCAACUUGGGUAUAAGCCUGGGAAACUGGGUCUAAUUCCCGAUAGGACUGCAGGGUGGUGCCUGUGGUGGAAAACGAUGUUCUAGUGGGUGGGGAUGAGCUCGCGGCCUAUCAGCUUGUUGGUGGGGUAAUGGCGUACCAAGGCGGCGACGGGGAGCCGGCCUGAGAGGGUGGACGGCCACAUUGGGACUGAGACACGGCCCCGACUCCUACGGGAGGCAGCAGUGGGGAAUAAUGCACAAUGGGCGGAAGCCUGAUGCAGCGACGCCGCGUGGGAGAUGACGGCCUUCGGGUGGUAAACUCCUUUCGACCGCGAGGAAGCCACCUGGUUGGAAGGGUGGUGACGGUAGUGGUAGAAGAAGCACCGGCUAACUACGUG
rnacentral:rRNA from 1 species